ensembl:lncRNA
ACAAGAUGGUUGACUCAACGCCUGAGUCUUCCAUCAAGGAGCCACCGGCACGCCAUCAUAGAGGCCGCAGGAGGAGGAGACAGGCGUCAGCCGUUCCUCAAAGCCCGGAGGACGUUCCCGAGCAGGCCGCUGCCGUCCAGGAGGACGUUCCCGAGCGGGCCGCUGCCGUCCAGGAGGACGUUCCCGAGCGGGCCGCUGCCGUCCAGGAGGACGUUCCCGAGCAGGCCGCUGUCGUCCAGGUGGAGGUGCCCGAGGUUCCCGAGGCGGGGCUCGAGGUGGUUCUGGAGGCCGAGGCUGUGCCCGAUGCCGAGGCGGUGCCUGAUGCGGUGGCCGAGGCGGUUCCCGAUGCAAUGUCCGAUGCCGAGGCGGUGCCCGAUGCCGAGGCGGUGCCCGAUGCCGAGGCGGUGCCCGAUGCCGAGGCGGUGCCCGAGGCGGUGCCCGAACCCGAGGUUGUUCCCGAGGCGACGCCCGUGUCCAGGGCCAUUCCCGAGGCGGUGUUCUUGUUCCAUGCCGUUCCUGAGGCCGCUCCCGAGGUGGUGCCCGAGCCCGAGGUCAUGCCCGAGAUCGUUCCCGAGGCGGUGCCCGAACCCGAGGUUGUUCCCGAGGCGACGCCCGUGUCCAAGGCCGUUCCCGAGGCGGUGCCCUUGUCCAAAGCCGUUCCCGAGGCGGUGUCCAAUGCCGUGACCUGGCCAUCGCCACAGCCUGCUCCUUACUGGCUCCCCGAUUGGCAGGUUCCGUUCGGGCCACUCAAAUGGCGAAUUCCUCCCUGGCCGUCUGCACAACGAGAAUGGACUGAUCCACCGUGGCCACCUGAACUGCCUGGCCCCUCGUGGUCCCCUGAACUUUCGGGUCCACCGUGGCCACCUGAACUGCCUGGUCCCUCGUGGUCCCCUGAACUUUCGGGUCCACCAUGGCCCCCUGAUCUGACCGAGCCACUUGGGCUACCAGGGGAGCCAUCGCUGCCGGUCCCAGUUCCCCUACACGGGCCUGGCCCGCCAUCCCUCCCCCUGUUCUGCCUCCACCAGUCCACCUCCC